GCCGGGUGUGGUGGCUCAUGCCUGUAAUCCCAGCACUUUGGGAGGCCAAGGUGGGGUGUAUUACCUGAGGUUAGGAGUUCUAGACCAGCCUAACCAACAUGGUGAAACCCCAUCUUU
ensembl:misc_RNA Metazoa_SRP Metazoan signal recognition particle RNA